CCUACGGGAGGCAGCAGUAGGGAAUCUUCCGCAAUGGACGAAAGUCUGACGGAGCAACGCCGCGUGAGCGAUGAAGGCCUUCGGGUCGUAAAGCUCUGUUGUCAGGGAAGAACAAGUACCGGAGUAACUGCCGGUACCUUGACGGUACCUGACCAGAAAGCCACGGCUAACUACGUGCCAGCAGCCGCGGUAAUACGUAGGUGGCAAGCGUUGUCCGGAAUUAUUGGGCGUAAAGCGCGCGCAGGCGGUCCUUUAAGUCUGAUGUGAAAGCCCACGGCUCAACCGUGGAGGGUCAUUGGAAACUGGGGGACUUGAGUGCAGAAGAGGAAAGCGGAAUUCCACGUGUAGCGGUGAAAUGCGUAGAGAUGUGGAGGAACACCAGUGGCGAAGGCGGCUUUCUGGUCUGUAACUGACGCUGAGGCGCGAAAGCGUGGGGAGCAAACAGGAUUAGAUACCCUGGUAGUCCACGCCGUAAACGAUGAGUGCUAAGUGUUAGGGGGUUUCCGCCCCUUAGUGCUGCAGCUAACGCAUUAAGCACUCCGCCUGGGGAGUACGGCCGCAAGGCUGAAACUCAAAGGAAUUGAC
rnacentral:rRNA from 1 species